CGUGUAGGUGGUUAAACAAGUCAGAUGUGAAAUCGUCUCGCUUAACGAGACAAUUGCAUUUGAUACUAUUUAGCUUAAGUGCAGGAAGGGAAAAUGGAAUUUCCGGUGUAGCGGUGAAAUGCGUAGAUAUCGGAAAGAACACCAGUGGCGAAGGCGGUUUUCUGGCCUGCAACUGACACUGAGGCGCGAAAGCUAGGGGGAGCAAACGGGAUUAGAUACCCCGGUAGUCCUAGCUAUAAACUAUGCAUACUAGGUGUGGGUGGUUCAUUCCAUCUGUGCCGUCGAUAACUCAUUAAGUAUGCCGCCUGGGAACUACGAUCGACAAGAUUGAA
rnacentral:rRNA from 1 species